UGCAGUCGACGGUGAAGUCCCUUCGGGGGUGGAAUAGUGGCGAACGGCUGAGUAACGCGUAAGUAACCUACCCCCGAGUGGGGAAUAACUCCGGGAAACCGGAGCUAAUACCGCAUAAUCCGUUGUGUCGCAUGGCAUAACGGCAAAGGUUUCGGCCGCUUGGGGAUGGGCUUGCGUUCUAUCAGGUAGUUGGUGAGGUAAGAGCUCACCAAGCCAAUGACGGAUAGCUGGUCUGAGAGGACGACCAGCCAGAGGGGGACUGCGACACGGCCCCCACUCCUACGGGAGGCAGCAGCAGGGAAUCUUGCGCAAUGGGCGAAAGCCUGACGCAGCGACGCCGCGUGCGGGAAGAAGGCCUUCGGGUUGUAAACCGCUUUUCUGAGGGAAGAGAAAGGACGAUACCUCAGGAAUAAGCCUCGGCUAACUACGUGCCAGCAGCCGCGGUGAUACGUAAGAGGCAAGCGUUGUCCGGAUUUACUGGGCGUAAAGGGCGUGUAGGCGGUACAGAAAGUCUUUGCUUAAAGAUCCCGGCUCAACUGGGAGAGUGGCAGUGAUACUUCUGAACUAGAGGGCAGUAGAGGAGAGCGGAAUUCCCGGUGUAGUGGUGGAAUGCGUAGAUAUCGGGAGGAACACCAGUGGCGAAAGCGGCUCUCUGGGCUGUACCUGACGCUGAGGCGCGAAAGCGUGGGUAGCAAACCGGAUUAGAUACCCGGGUAGUCCACGCCAUAAACGAUGGAUGCUGGGUAUAGAGGGUAUCGACCCCUUCUG
rnacentral:rRNA from 1 species